rnacentral:rRNA from 1 species
AAUCAACGCUGGCGGCGUGCCUCAGACAUGCAAGUCGAACGAUUAAAGCUCUCUUCGGAGAGUGUAUAGAGUGGCGCACGGGUGAGUAACACGUAAGUAAUCUACCUUUGAGUGGGGAAUAACCCGGGGAAACCCGAGCUAAUACCGCAUAAUGCAGCGGCACCGCAAGGUGACAGUUGUUAAAGGAGCAAUCCGCUUAAAGAGGAGCUUGCGGCAGAUUAGCUAGUGGUAAGGUAAUGGCUUACCAAGGCUUCGAUCUGUAUCCGGCCUGAGAGGGGCGGUCGGACACACUGACACUGAAUAACGGGUCAGACUCCUACGGGAGGCAGCAGUCGGGAAUUUGGGCAAUGGGCGAAAGCCUGACCCAGCAACGCCGCGUGAAGGAU